rnacentral:rRNA from 1 species
CCUUCGGGUGGCAGCAGUGAGGAAUAUUGGUCAAUGGGCUUACGCCUGAACCAGCCAAGUCGCGUGAGGGAAGACUGCCCUAUGGGUUGUAAACCUCUUUUGUCAGGGAGCAACGCCGGCUACGUGUAGCCGGACUGAGAGUACCUGAAGAAAAAGCAUCGGCUAACUCCGUGCCAGCAGCCGCGGUAAUACGGAGGAUCCGAGCGUUAUCCGGAUUUAUUGGGUUUAAAGGGAGCGUAGGUGGAUUGUUAAGUCAGUUGUGAAAGUUUGCGGCUCAACCGUAAAAUUGCAGUUGAAACUGGCAGUCUUGAGUACAGUAGAGGUGGGCGGAAUUCGUGGUGUAGCGGUGAAAUGCUUAGAUAUCACGAAGAACUCCGAUUGCGAAGGCAGCAUACCGGCGCGCAACUGACGCUCAUGCACGAAAGCGUGGGUAUCGAACAGGAUUAGAUACCCCUGUAGUC